ensembl:lncRNA
GCUCCAACCCCUCCCCCCAGCAGUGUCCUUUGUGACAUCGCUAAUGUGACUGAGAAUCAGACCCCCACCUCCCAGGGGCCUCUCGGUGUUGUGCAGCAUUGGCUUUCCAGCAUCCCCCCUUGCAGCGGCCCAGACACGGCUGGCUGCCUCUGACCUUCAGGCAGUACCAGGAUCCUCUUUCAUCUCUCCUAUCUGCUCCUCCCACCUUCAAGCCUCAGGCCUCCCUGCUUGCUGCCAGGCUGUAGGGCUGGCUAUCUGUGCAGCCCCGAGGGGGGAUCAGACCCUGCUGGCUUUGAAGAUGGAGUGGGGCCAUGAGCCAAGGAACACAGGCAGGCUCCAGAAGCCGGAAAAGGCAAGAAAACAGACUCUCCCCUUGAGCCUCUAGAAAGGAAUGGAGGCUAACGUCAGACCCUGUCCUACAGAAAUGUAAAAUCAUAAAUUUGUGUUGUUUUAAGCAUCUAAGUUUGUGGUAACGUGGUACAGCAGCAACAGGAAACUAAUGCAAUGAUGAGCCAAAUAUCAACACUUUAUUUUAUUUUUUGCUGAGAAAGAUUUGCCCUGAGCUAACAUCUGUUGCUAAUUUUCCUCUUUUUGUAUGUGAGCUGCCACCACAGUGUGGCCACUGAUGAAUGGUGUAGGUGUGUGCCCAGGAACCGAAGCAGGACCCCCAAAGCAGAGCAUGCUGAACUUAACCACUAGGCCACCAGGGCUGGCCCUCAACAUUUUAAAUAAAGACAAGAUCAGGGAAUUCUAGGCUCCUGGUAGGGGAUGAUGUAUAGAUACAUAUGUUGAGAUCUUAAAUGUUUGAAAAUGUGUUUUUUCUACCUUCCCUUUGGUUGAUAGUUUUGCUGGGCAUGCGAUUCUAGACAGAAAACCAUGUCCCUCAGAAUUUAGAAUGCAUUGAUUCAUUGUCUUCUGGCUUCCACUGGUAUAGUUGAAAAAUCUGAGCCCAUUCUUUUCUUUUAGGAAGAUUAGCCCUGAGCUAACAUCUGCUGCCAAUCCUCCUCCUUUUGCUGAGGAAGACUGGUCCUGAGCUAACAUCUCUGCCCAUCUUCCUCUACUUUAUAUGUGGGAUGCCUACCACAGCAUGGCUUGCCAAGCGGUGCCAUGUCCGCCCCCGGGAUUCGAACUGGCGAACCCUGGACCGCCAAAGUGAAACAUGCGCACUUAACCGCUGUGCCACAGGGCUGGCCCCUGAGCCCAUUCUGAUUCUCUUUUCUUUGCGAGUGACCUAUUUUUCCUCUCUGGAAGCUUUUAGGAUUUCUUUUCUAUCGCUAGUGUUUUGAAAUUUCACAAUGGUGUGGCUUUGUAGGGGUCUUUUUUUGUUCAUUGCCCUGCAUGAUCUCAAGCAUGUCUUUUAGUACUGGGAGGUUUUCUUGUGUUACUUCUUUGCUUAUUCUUCCCCCUCCAUAUUCUCUGGUUUUCUUUUUCUGAUACAUCCAUUAGUCAGUCAUUUGUUGGAUCCUCUCGACUGAUCUUUGAAUUUUCUUGUCUCUCCCAUUUUCUCACCCUUUUUUUGUUCUUACUUUGUGAGAGAUUUCCACAACUUCAUUAUUCAAUUCUCAUAUUGAAUUUAAGUAGUUAUCUUGAAAAAUUAUUUUUCAUUUUUGACAUCCUUGCUGUCUGUUCAUAUUUAAGUGGGUUUGGAAAACCUUUGACAACUCUGUGAGAAAGCUAUCAACUAGUGGGCCUCAUGGAAGGGUGACCAGGUGGGGACCUAGCUGCUUCACUGGUGAAUGCACAGUGUCAGUAUAUGUAGACUUUUCUGUUGAGCCAGUCAGUUUCUCUAGAUGGACAUCCUCCAAACUCCCACCUGGGGCUAUAAACCUGACUGCCAGCAUGCUGAGAACUGAGUAGGAGAAGAGAGCUGGAGUCCUCCUGCUCACCAGAUUUUCACUUAUCAUCUUUUCCAGUAAAAUAUCGGUGGUGAGUUAAAUAGUUCCCCCUCCAAAAGAUGUCCAUGUUGUAACUUCUGGAACCUGUGAAUGUGAACGCAUUUGGAAAGAGGAUCUUUACAGAUGUAAGAAAGUUAAGGAUCUUGAGAUGAGAUCUUCCUGGAUUAUCAAUGUGGGUUCUAAAUCUAAUGAUAAGUGCCCUAUAAGCGACAUACAGAGGAGAGACACACACAGAAGAGGAGAAGGCCAGGUGAAGAUGGAAGCAGAGAUUGGAGUUAUGCAGCCACCAGCCAAGGAACACCUGCUGCCACUGGAAGCUAGAAGAGGCAAGGAAGGAUCGUCCCCUGAGCUUCUGGAGGGAGCACAACCCUGCUGACACUUUGAUUUCAGACUUCAGGCCUCCAGAGCUAUGAGAGAAUAAUUUUCUAUUGGUUUAAGCCACCCAGUUCACGGUAACUUGUUACGGCAACCCUAGGAAACUUAUACAGCACCUCACUUCCAGCUGGCGUGUUAGCCCCGAGACCAGAGGCCCUUUGGUUCAAUCUCCCCUGGGAAUAAACCUCCAGUCUUCUGCUGGGGUGGGCACGGGGUGAUCGGCUAAGGUCUGAGAGGAGACUCAAGGGUCUGAU